rnacentral:siRNA from 1 species
UCUAAUUUACUUUUCAUUGCUUAU